GGAGAGGUGCCCGGAGUGGCCGAUCGGGGGCCAGAGCUCUCGUUCUGGUCGGGUCUUAUGGCCUUCACAGAUUCGAAUCCUGCCCUCUCCG
rnacentral:tRNA from 1 species